rnacentral:misc_RNA from 1 species
GCGCUGGCCACGUCGUCCGCGCUCGCCGGGCGGACCACGGCCGCGGGCAUGGCGCUCGCCAGCCCGCCGAAAUCCGUCGCCGCCGCCGCCGCGCACCCGCCCGCCGUGGUGGCGGGCUCGCGGCCGGCGUCCUCUGGCUCGGCGGCCGCCGUCGCGCGGUCCAUGUACGCGAGCAUCAUCUUCUUGCUUUGCGACGAGGAGCUGGCUGCUGAUGGAGGGGAGCUCGGCUGUGUCAAAGGGGGAAACCUUCCCCUCCGCGAGGUGAUUGGUGAAGCAGAGGCAGAGCAGCUAGCUCUAUAUGUUUCGUGAUGUCACGGCGCUCUGCUUGCUUGAGGCUUGAGCUCGUGGUAGUUUGGGUCGCCGGGGGGUUUUAUAACGAGCGGAC